GCCGCCGUGGGUUAGAAGGGAGAGCACCAGCUUACCAAGUUGGUGCUGCGGGUUCGAGUCCCGCUGGCGGCU
rnacentral:tRNA from 1 species